rnacentral:lncRNA from 1 species
GUGCUGAGAACUGAACCUGGAUCUGCUGCAAGAGCAACAGGUACUCUGUCUUAGUUAGGAUUCUAUUGCUGUGAAGACCACUGCAACCCUUAUAAAGAAAACAUUGAACUGGCUUACAGUUUCAGAGGUUUAGUCCAUUAUCAUCAUGGCAGGACAUGGUGGUGUGCAGGCAGACAUGGUGCUGGAGAAGGAGCUGAGAGUUCUACAUCUUGAUUCACAGGCAGCAGAAGGAGAUUGUGUACCAUACUGGGAGUAGCUCAAGCAGAGGAGACCUCGAAGCCCCUCCCUAUAGUGACACACUUCCUCCAACAAGGCCUAGUAGUGCCCGUUGCCAAGUUUUGAAACACAUGAGUCUUUGGCAGCCAUACCUAUUCACAUCACCACGUGCUCUUAAUUACAGAGUGUCUGAGGAGGCCAGAAGACAGCAUCCUAUCCCUGGAAACUGGAGUUACAGGUGUUGUGAGCUGCCAUGUGUGCUGGGACUUGAAGCAGAGAACAGCCAGUGCUAGUAAGUGCUGAACCAUCUCUUUUGUUCCCAGCCAAAGGGUUUUUGUCUCCGGAGGGAGGUUCUCACACUGUGCAGUCACAACUUCAAGCCAGGCGGAGUCCACCUUACACAUUUUUGCCAAAAUC